GUCCCUGUAACGUAAUGGAUAGCGCGUUGGACUUCUAAUCCAAAGUUUCGAAUCCCACCUGAGAUG